UACGGAGGGGGCUAGCGUUGUUCGGAAUUACUGGGCGUAAAGCGCACGUAGGCGGAUAUUUAAGUCAGGGGUGAAAUCCCAGAGCUCAACUCUGGAACUGCCUUUGAUACUGGGUAUCUUGAGUAUGGAAGAGGUGAGUGGAAUUCCGAGUGUAGAGGUGAAAUUCGUAGAUAUUCGGAGGAACACCAGUGGCGAAGGCGGCUCACUGGUCCAUUACUGACGCUGAGGUGCGAAAGCGUGGGGAGCAAAUAGG
rnacentral:rRNA from 1 species